GUACUCGCUUCGGCAGCACAUAUACUAAAAUUGGAAUGAUAUGGAAAAGAUUAACACAGUCUCUGUGUGAGGAUGACAUGCAAAUUCAUGCAGCAUGCCAUGUUUUU
ensembl:snRNA U6 U6 spliceosomal RNA